rnacentral:lncRNA from 1 species
GAGCUGAGAUUGCUGUCAUUCCUAUGGGGCAGAGCACUGCAGCAUGCAGCAAUGGGAGCUUUAGACAAGGAGAAGUACCUGAAGAAUAACACAAAUGCCAUUGGGCAAAGCUGCAUCCAACUGAAAAUCUCUUGAAGAACAUUGCUGUUUCUUUUUCUUCUUGUAUCUCCGUGCUUUUCAUUUUAACUACCAGCGAAUCCAGUACAGGCAUCAGACCAAAGGGAAAACAGAAGACUGUCAUCUAUAUGUGGAGUGGGCUGCUCCUCACGUCGUCGUGUCUGUUGCUGGGCAAGCUGUGAAACAAGAGCGAUGGGGGCCAAGUGGGAUGUAAUUUCAGCUGCCUUAGCAAGCACUGGCCUCACAGCACCCAUUAAGCUAAGUAGAGAUGCACACCUAACGGUCCAUACCCCGUAAUUGGCAUUCCUUGCAUAAAAAUAUCCAUUCACCAACUGUUCACCAACUGUUCCUCCUCUCGUUGCCCUACCUUAGCUUUCAUUUUAAGACACCAGUGAAUAUUUGCUCUUCAGCCUCCCAGCCUCUGAAGUUUCCUCCAGGUUUUAAAGGCCAUAACAACAGCAGCGGAGAGUCAAUGAGCAUCUUCUGGGAAGGGCUUUGGUACUGUAGAACUCGGGCUGCUAUGGAGCAGUAGCUCCAUAUGACAGCAAUGCACCUGUGAACCCCAGGUCCCACAGCCCUUAGCAG